rnacentral:rRNA from 1 species
CCUACGGGAGGCAGCAGUGAGGAAUAUUGGUCAAUGGCCGGAAGGCUGAACCAGCCAUGCCGCGUGAAGGUCAGUGCCCUAUGGGCGUUAAACUUCUUUUGUGCGGGAGCAAUAAUGGUCACGUGUGGCCAGACGAGAGUACCGUACGAAUAAGCAUCGGCUAACACCGUGCCAGCAGCCGCGGUAAAACGGGGGAUGCAAGCGUUAUCUGGAUUUAUUGGGUUUAAAGGGUGCGUAGGCUGUGAGGUAAGUCAGCGGUGAAAUGCCCCCGCUCAACGGGGUGAAGUGCCAUUGAAACUGCCUUGCUGGAAUGCGGAUGCCGUGGGAGGAAUGUGUGGUGUAGCGGUGAAAUGCAUAGAUAUCACACAGAACACCGAUUGCGAAGGCAUCUCACGAAUCCGCGAUUGACGCUGAUGCACGAAAGCGUGGGUAUCGAACAGGAUUAGAUACCCUGGUAGUC